UCAUCUUCAGCUUACAUGGUUUGUGAGUUGUACAUUACAAAAAUUCACUCAACCUUUCCAAGCCACACUCUAUGCCUUACAUUUAUAGUAAGUUCUACAUUACAAAAUUUUUACUUGGCACAACUAAUAUAGAGACAUACAAAGAAAUAUCAAUACAUAUUCAAAAGGGUUCCCCAAGUGUAAAAUUAUCUCUAACCGAAAGUACAAAAUAAACUAGAAUAUUAAAU
rnacentral:lncRNA from 1 species